CCCUCCAUCUGACUCCUGUCAACCACAGAUCUUUCUAUUGCCUCCAUAGUUUUGUCUUCUCCAGAAUGUCAUAUAGUUGGAAUCACACAGUA